rnacentral:rRNA from 1 species
AUUGAACGCUGGCGGCAGGCCUAACACAUGCAAGUCGAGCGGGGUUUUCGGACCUAGCGGCGGACGGGUGAGUAAUGCGUAGGAAGCUACCCGAUAGAGGGGGAUACCAGUUGGAAACGACUGUUAAUACCGCAUAAUGUCUACGGACCAAAGUGUGGGACCUUCGGGCCACAUGCUAUCGGAUGCGCCUACGUGGGAUUAGCUAGUUGGUGGGGUAAUGGCUCACCAAGGCGACGAUCCCUAGCUGGUUUGAGAGGAUGAUCAGCCACACUGGAACUGGGACACGGUCCAGACUCCUACGGGAGGCAGCAGUGGGGAAUAUUGGACAAUGGGCGCAAGCCUGAUCCAGCCAUGCCGCGUGUGUGAAGAAGGCCUUCGGGUUGUAAAGCACUUUCAGUAGGGAGGAAGGGUGUUGUGUUAAUAGCACAGCAUUUUGACGUUACCCACAGAAGAAGCACCGGCUAACUCUGUGCCAGCCGCCGCCGUAAGAC